CGGUUCGAUUAUUCUGAGGACAAAGGAGGAAAUAAUGGAGAAAAAGUGACGAAAACAUUUUACUGUCUUUCCAAGGUGAGGUCUUUGGGGUCCUGAAGUAGUUGGAUUCAGCAAGAGAGAAAUGGUGGGAGAGGAGAGAUAGAACUCAGUGGUUAGAGAAAUGAUUUCAGUGUUCACGGUAUUGGAGUAGGAGUCAUCCAGGAGCUGGCUUGGGUGAGUCGAGCAGUGAUAGGUGAGAUUUCCAGAGUAAAGGAAGUGCAGGACCACAGGACUAUAAGCCUCAUUGUGUGGAAACCACCGUACAGAAGGCUUUUGUCACCUGAUCCUCUGCUGUGAAAGCUGUUGCUUUUCUCAUCCUAUGUACUAAUAACUAAUAUAAAAUGGGGCUACUUAUCAGGUCAUAUUCUGAUCCCUGGAAAGGCUUGGGAAAAAAUGAUUUUUACAGCAUAGGAUUGCAAAAACUUAGUGCUGAAUGAGGGAUUUACACUUUUCUUGCAAACACAAGCCACUGCUGGUAGGCACAGAACACUGGGUGUGUUGAUUGCUAACGUGAUUUAUUGCCAUCCCUGUUUAUUCAGCAGCAUUCUAUGACCUUUCUUCCACAGUGUCCUCUGCCUUGAUAAAAUCGCUCUAUUCUAUGUCAGGUCCUUUUAAUUUUUUUUCAGAAUCAAGUAUGAAACAAUUUCAGUGUAUUCAAUUCUAACUUUUUUUUGCUCAUUUUUUAUUCCUUGAGGACUGAAUAAUACAUUUAGAAGUUGAAGAAGGCACCUAUACACAGUGCCUUUAACUUUUUUUGUCUAGAUUUUCAGCCUUGCCUCAGAAGAACCUUUCUUUUUUACAGAAGAACUUUGGGUGUCCAAUGUUUGUCACUUGGAUCUGAAAUUAAUUAUAUCUAUCCCCCAAAUAUGAGGAAUCAUCUAACUGGGCACAUGAGGGGAUAAUUGCACAUAUAAGAAAGAACAGUAAUGAGGUAGUUAUGCACAAAAGUAGCAGCGUAAAAAGUGGGGGCAGGGAAGAGAAGACUUAGGAAAGGACCCUGGAACUUUAGCCCCUAGUGGUCCACCCACCCAUCCCUCAACCCAAUGAAAUAUCUCGCAAAGUAUCAAUCUCUAUAGAACUCACUAGGAUUCAAAGAUUAUUAUGCUUCCAGUAUUUGAAGAGUUUAUAUGUCAUAACUUGAGCAGACCCAGUUUUGAGGAAAGAAAGGAAGUCUGUCAGGAAGAAAGGAAGGAAGGGAGAUUAUGCACCAAGUGUGUCCUAACUACUAUGGAAAGCUUUACAUAUAUCAUCUUAUUAAUGAUCAGGACAAAGGGAGAGAAAGGCCAAUAUCACAAUUUAGUAGAAGAAUACAAAUGCAUAAAUACGUGUAACCCCAUGUCAUUAGUACUAUAAUAAGAGUAGAAACCCAGAUGACAGACAGGCUGACUUUGCCUAGGAUUGACAAAGAAAGCUUCCCAGAGGAGCCCACAUUUCAACUCAGUCUGAUGAAUGAUCAGGAGCUGCCCAGGUUGAAAGGUGGGGAGGACACUUUAAGUAAAAAGAACAUUGCGCACAAAAGUGUAGCAAUGUAAGGAAUAGGGUAAGCUUGGACACUGUGGAGUGGUUAAGAGCUAAGAUGAAGGACUGGAGAAGUAGAUUGGGAUUCUCUAUGCCAAGCUAAAGCAUUGGAAUUGUAUUAAAAUGUAGGUAACAGGGAGCUAUUGAAAUUUUGUAAGCAUGAGAAUAUAACAUCAUCUGAUUUAUGUUUUGGAAAGAUGACCGAGAUAAAUAAGCAAAGGAGGAAAAGACCAAGGACACUCAUCUUCACCUAGCAAAUAUUUAUUGAGUACUUACUAUGUUCUGGGCAUGUUAUAAGGGCUGAAGAUACAGCACCCACCUAAAUAAUAAAAAUUCUUGAAGAUCCCACUGUGCCACCUUGGGUUAAUUAUCUGCCUUGUCUCUGUGGUAACACAGGUCACAGCUGCAGCUCAGAUUUGAUCCUUGGCUGGAAACGUCCAUAUGCCACAGGUGCAGCCAAAAAAUAAAAAUUAUUGCCCUCAUGCAGCUUUAGGGAAAGAAAGAGGCUAUAAACAAAUAUAACUGUUCAAGUGGCGAUAAGUGCUGUGGAGAAAAUUAAAGCAGGGAAGGAAGAUGGAUACUUUCUUUGCAACUGGAUGAUUCCUUCACCCUAUAUAUAUUAUAACUUCCCAUUGAGAAGGACGGGAACAUUUGCACAAAGACUGAAAGAGAAGAGGGAGCAAGCCUCUGUGGGAAGAGAAUUUUAGGCAGAUGGAUAAGUACCAAGCCCUCUAUAUUAUAUGAGAGCUCUGGAAACCCAAGAUGCCAAAAGAGAGCGAUUUAAGACUUACAAGCCCAUAUUUAUAUGAAGGAGGAACUGAGCCAAAGAAAUAGUGAUAACCUCUUAUAUACCAUUCAGAACUUCUUGUCAUUUGUCUAAAAGCAUUUGAGUUUGACAGGAUCUUCUUUUACAGAUCAUUGUUGGGGCAGAAUUUUGGACAGAGGUAACUAAACUAUUUCCUGCUAUCACUCAAGACCAGAAAUUUUGCAUUUAAUACAAAAGCCCAGUUGUCAUGCCAAAGCUAAGAGAGUAUUUCUCUGUUUCCUUUGCAAUUUUAAAUCAUUCAUUUCAUUUUCAGAUGCUCAAAAUCCAUACUUGAUGACCACAUUUAAGGGAACUCUUCCUCAAACCCAAGAAAGCCAUUGAUUGGAUGGCACACGUAGAAACCCUUCAGUAAAUAAGCAAGAUGAGUGAAAAUGGGAAUGUGUCUGGCUGAUCAUGGUCUAGCUGAGUGCACUGCACACACAGAGAUAAAAAUGAAGCUGGAAUCUGGAAUGAGAUCAUUAGUAUAUACCAUCCUGUAACUGUAGUCAGACCACACACAUUUUUAAUGCAUUGAACCCACCUUGAAAUGCCCCUCCAGUCCCUGGGAAGAAAGUACUAGAAAAAAAAAGGGGGUGGGGGGUGGGGGGAGGAUGCCGAGUGAUCCAUAAUGCUGUCAAUGUCACAAUUCAUCCUGAACAGCAGAAUAAAGUUAAUAGGGAAAGUUCUUUAGUGCUUGUUCAGCUGCUGCCUGCCACCCAAUUCUAUGGCAGAAAAGUGAGGAGGAAAUAGAUAUAUCAUUAUAGAAUGUAUCAAUAAUAAAUUAUAGAUAUGUCAUAUAUAAGGAGCAGUCCCCUUAUUUAUUUGAAGUAUCAAUCUUUAGGAGUGUGUAUUUGACCACUCAAUG
rnacentral:lncRNA from 1 species